GGAAGUAAAAGUCGUAACAAGGUUUCCGUAGGUGAACCUGCGGAAGGAUCAUUAAUGAAUUUUAUGGCAGAGUUGUAGCUGGCCCCAAUCGGGUAUGUGCACACUUUGUUCAUUCCAUUCUCAUACACCUCUGUGCACUUUUCAUAGGUUUAGUUAUGGAUGAGGCACUUUUUUAUAGUGUCUUGGAAGUGACUAUCCUAUGUAUUUUACAAACGCUUCAGUUUUAGAAUGUCAUUCGCGUAUAACGCAAUAAAUACAACUUUCAGCAACGGAUCUCUUGGCUCUCGCAUCGAUGAAGAACGCAGCGAAAUGCGAUAAGUAAUGUGAAUUGCAGAAUUCAGUGAAUCAUCGAAUCUUUGAACGCACCUUGCGCCCCUUGGUAUUCCGAGGGGCAUGCCUGUUUGAGUGUCAUGGUAUUCUCAAUACCCUAAAUCUUUGCGGAUGAGGGUGUAUUGGAUUUGGAGGUUUUUGCAGGCAAUAUUCAUUGUCAGCUCCUCUUAAAUACAUUAGCAGAGAUAUUACUGCUACUCUCCAGUGUGAUAAUUGUCUACACUGUUAGUAGUGCGGUAUAAUCAAAGUCUUUGCUUCUAAUCGUCUUCGGACAAUUCUUUGACAUCUGACCUCAAAUCAGGUAGGACUACCCGCUGAACUUAAGCAUAUCAAUAAGCGGAGGA
rnacentral:rRNA from 1 species